GUUGGUGUUCUGUUCCCGAGAUGGAAUCUCUUAUCUCAGGAAAGGACAGGAAGCGGCGGACUUUGUGAGAUGCCUUGGGAAGAAUGCCAUGAAAGAAAAUUCGUGAGGGCAGUCAGAUCAUGAAAGGAAAACCAGUGCUUGCGUUCUAUGGAGAAAGGAAUGAAGAACAGUUUCUGGAGGGGAGGGACACCCCCCCCACCCUUUAGCACAUUGGGUGUGAAACACGGGACGUAUUGAAACAUCUAUCAGCAGUCUGUGAUACUGUCAACAUUCUAAGUUAUCCUUGGAGACUUUCAAGGCUGACGUGACUAGAUAGCCCGCAGACUAUACACAGCAAUACGCAUCCGUCGGGAUAUGCAGUUGAAAGCAUUGCAGCAUGCCUCGACAGCAUCCUUGUUAAAAUGUGCAGCUGAUGUUUUCUUGAUACAUCAAUUGAAAUCCAUCCUGAUGUCUGCGCCCACGUGGAUUUUCUCAUCUGGUGCUGGUGGUUUUUAUGAAGUUGCAGUGCACCGAACAGCUCAUCGACCCAGGUUGUAAACUAAACAAGCUUCUCCCAAACGAAGGCACAUUUGGUACGGGCAACAACUUGUCUUCUUAAUGCUGUCUUGCCAUAAAAGUUUCUUGUUUUUUAUGAAAGGUGUAAAAACACGUCGGAUUUGUUUAAGAGUUACAAAUUUGAUCAUCUGUCUGGACUGUGUUUAAUCUGGCGAGAGUCCUAAAACUUUCUACCAUUGGACAGUUCUGUUAUUGAGGAACAUCCCGUUCCACUGAGUUUUUACAUCCUUUGAUGUUUGAAGUUCAAUGGCUUUUUGAUAAAUUGAUUACAGGAAUGGAGAAAUCUAACUAUGUCAUCAUCAUGCUCUGUAGCACGAGUGUUGCCAAAAAUCCAAAUAGGAGUGUAUAAAUGGAGAGGGAAUGUUUGUGGACUCUGCAAGGUUUAACUCCAGGUCAAAUUAGGCCAAUACCUCCCAUUACUUAUAAAUCUGCACUCUUUAUAUGGUGACAAAUUAUUUGCUCACAUUUCAUUUAUAUAAAUAUGUGGGUUACUGCAAUGUUUUAUCAGCUAAGAAGGAGCAAGAAACAACCAUUUGUAAAGGGAACAGGAAUACUCUCUCCCUUACCAGUUUCAAAUAGGGGGAACUGGUACAAAACUACCGCACAGUCUCUGAGCUCUUAUCACUGUCACUUUCUCUAUUACGUCUGUAUUUCCAGCUGUGCUCCUUUUUGAAGAUGGUAUUCCUAAUGGUAACAAUAAUGAAUAUUUAUUGGUCAGCAAUGAGAAAGGUUGCAGGACCCAAAAUCGCAUUUGUAACAAUGUUUGUAACAAUGCAAGCAUUAGAAUGUUUUAUCUGUAUGUGUCUUUAGAGUGUGUGGAAACAUAAUGCAGUUGAUGUAGAAAGCCAUGAGUACAAGCAAGAAUCAUUACAUUGGCUUUGCUAGAAGAACUUGUUAGCAUUCUGCAUGCAAUUAGCUAGUCUUCAUUAAAAACAUACAAGCUUACAGUUGUGAACAGAGUCACAGCACAAGCAACAUACGUAAACCGAGCUGGCAUGCAUAUUUGUACGAAAGUGUCCCAGUUAUAAAACAAGCACACCACAAUUCAUUUCAGUUGUGUUGGCCUGCCUGAUGAAUUAUUUAGUUAGUUCAUUCUGAAGUCUGUCAAUAUUUAUGGCUGUCGCAAAAAGCAAUUGCAAAUAAAUUCUGUACACAUUAAAAAAAAUACAAACCAUUACAAUCAGUGUACCGCAAGGCAUGGGGCAUUCUUCAGGUAGGACAAAUGGACAAAGAUAAGAAUGCUUAAAAAUAUCUUGUAGCUGUGUUUUCAGGUGGGAGAAGUUUAAACUAUGGUUACUGUGCACUGAAAGAAUGGACUAUAUUUUUGUAAAAACUCUCUGACGCUACCAUUCCUAAGGUUUUCAUUUAAAAACAAAGCCUGUUGUACAGUGUACAUUAGAGUCAAAUAUAAACAGCACUUGAUCACCAAAUGGUGGCGGAUUUUUUUCUAAAUGUGAGAACAUAUGGCUGGUUUAAAAUAUUACUAUUUAUUACUUGUAAAAUAUAUUUUUGUACAUGUGUAAAGCUUAGUUUGUAUAUAUUGCUGAAGUUAUCAGUUAUAUGCAUUUACACAGUUAUAUGGCAUAAUUUUUGUAAAUAGCUUUAAAGUGAGAAUUUAUUGAUGAUUUAUAUAGUCUAUUAAAUCUACUGCAAUAAUAAACUCGUCUUUUCCCAAA